AUCCAGCCGCUGAGUCCCAAACAGGACGAAACGCGCGUCAAACUGGAU
rnacentral:hammerhead_ribozyme from 1 species